UUUGCUGACGAGUGGCGGACGGGUGAGUAAUGUCUGGGAAACUGCCUGAUGGAGGGGGAUAACUACUGGAAACGGUAGCUAAUACCGCAUAACGUCGCAAGACCAAAGAGGGGGACCUUCGGGCCUCUUGCCAUCGGAUGUGCCCAGAUGGGAUUAGCUAGUAGGUGGGGUAACGGCUCACCUAGGCGACGAUCCCUAGCUGGUCUGAGAGGAUGACCAGCCACACUGGAACUGAGACACGGUCCAGACUCCUACGGGAGGCAGCAGUGGGGAAUAUUGCACAAUGGGCGCAAGCCUGAUGCAGCCAUGCCGCGUGUAUGAAGAAGGCCUUCGGGUUGUAAAGUACUUUCAGCGGGGAGGAAGGGAGUAAAGUUAAUACCUUUGCUCAUUGACGUUACCCGCAGAAGAAGCACCGGCUAACUCCGUGCCAGCAGCCGCGGUAAUACGGAGGGUGCAAGCGUUAAUCGGAAUUACUGGGCGUAAAGCGCACG
rnacentral:rRNA from 1 species